UGCACUCACUAUUGUAAGUCGCUCUGGAUAAGAGGGUCUGCUAAAUAACGUUUU
rfam:Salmo salar isolate Sally breed double haploid chromosome ssa27, whole genome shotgun sequence.